AACCAAACUCUUUCUGUAGUCCCCUCGCGGACGUAUUUCUUACAGCUCUGAGCAAAAAUUCAAAAUGAAUCAAAACUUUCAACAACGGAUCUCUUGGUUCUGGCAUCGAUGAAGAACGCAGCGAAAUGCGAUAAGUAAUGUGAAUUGCAGAAUUCAGUGAAUCAUCGAAUCUUUGAACGCACAUUGCGCCCGCCAGUAUUCUGGCGGGCAUGCCUGUCCGAGCGUCAUUUCAACCCUCGAACCCCUCCGGGGGAUCGGCGUUGGGGAUCGGGACCCCUCACCGGGUGCCGGCCCUGAAAUACAGUGGCGGUCUCGCCGCAGCCUCUCCUGCGCAGUAGUUUGCACAACUCGCACCGGGAGCGCGGCGCGUCCACGUCCGUAAAACACCCAACUUCUGAAAUGUUGACCUCGGAUCAGGUAGGAAUACCCGCUGAACUUAAGCAUAUCAAUAAGCGGAGGGAAAAAAAACCAACCCAUC
rnacentral:rRNA from 1 species